UCCCUGGUGGCUCAGACCGUAAAGUGACUGCCUGCAGUGCAGGAGACCCAGGUUUGAUCCCUGGGUCGGGAA
rfam:Ovis aries breed Texel chromosome 2, whole genome shotgun sequence.